AAAUUACUCCCUCCGUCCCAAAAUUCUUGUCUUAGAUUUGUCUAGAUACGGAUGUAUCAAGUCACAUUUUAGUAUUAGAUACAUCUGUAUCUAGACAAAUCUAAGACAAGAAAUUUGGGACAGAGGGAGUAGUUG
rnacentral:pre_miRNA from 1 species